CAAAAACAUAGCCCCCGAAAAAAUCGGAGGUGUAACCUGCCCAAUGGUUUUCAACUAAAUAAAUAUAAAAAAUUUAAAAGAAAACUUAAAGGACGCAGUAACCUGACUGUGGUAAUGUAGCAUAAUCAUUCGCCAUUUAAUUGAUGGAUAGUAUGAACGGUUAAACGAAUUCUUCACUGUCUUAAAAAGAGAAAUCAUGAAAUUAAAAUAAUAGUUAAGAUGCUAUUUAAAAUUGUAAGACGAAAAGACCCUAUAGAGCUUAACUACAAUCUCUUUCACAAUCAAAAAAUCAAACUUUUAAAAAAAGAGAGAUAGGUAGUUUAGUUGGGGCGACUAUCUUCUAAAAAUAACGAAGACAAGCAAUGUUAAUAAAAAACUUAUUGUAUAAUUAAUAAAUUUAACAAUUACAAAAGUAGGCUAUAAUGACCCGUUAUUAUUAAAUAAUAAAAAUAACGAUUAAUAAAUAAAAGCUACCUUAGGGAUAACAGGAUAAUUUUGUUUUAGAGAUCCUAUCGAAAACAAAGUUUGUCACCUCUAUGUUGAAUUAAGAUACCCUGAUAAUGCAGAAGUUAUCAAAGGUUGGUCUGUUCGACCAUUAAAAUCUUACAUGAUUU
rnacentral:rRNA from 1 species